rnacentral:rRNA from 1 species
AUUGAACGCUGGCGGCAUGCCUUACACAUGCAAGUCGAACGGUAACGGGUUAAGCUGACGAGUGGCGAACGGGUGAGUAAUACAUCGGAACGUGCCCAGACGUGGGGGAUAGCUCGGCGAAAGCCGGAUUAAUACCGCAUGUGAUCUGAGGAUGAAAGCGGGGGACCGUAAGGCCUCGCGCGUCUGGAGCGGCCGAUGGCAGAUUAGGGAGUUGGUGGGGUAAAGGCUUACCAAGCCUACGAUCUGGAGCUGGUCUGAGAGGACGACCAGCCACACUGGGACUGAGACACGGACAAGACUCCGACGGGAGGCAGCAGUGGGGGAUUUUGGACAAUGGGCGAAAGCCUGAUCCAGCAAUGCCGCGGGCAGGAUGAAGGCCUUCGGGUUGUAAACUGCUUUUGUACGGAACGAAAAGGCGCCUACUAAUACUGGGUGUUGAUGACGGUGCCGUAAGAAUAAGCACCGGCUAACUACGUGCCAGCCGCCGCCGUAACAC